rnacentral:rRNA from 1 species
GGGGAAUAUUGGACAAUGGGCGCAAGCCUGAUCCAGCCAUGCCGCGUGGGUGAAGAAGGCCUUCGGGUUGUAAAGCCCUUUUGGCGGGGACGAUGAUGACGGUACCCGCAGAAUAAGCCCCGGCUAACUUCGUGCCAGCAGCCGCGGUAAGACGAAGGGGGCAAGCGUUGUUCGGAAUUACUGGGCGUAAAGGGCGCGUAGGCGGCCUGAUAAGUCAGACGUGAAAGGCCUGGGCUCAACCUGGGAAUUGCGUUUGGGACUGUUGGGCUGGAGAGCGGGAGAGGAUGGUGGAAUUCCCAGUGUAGAGGUGAAAUUCGUAGAUAUUGGGAAGAACACCAGUGGCGAAGGCGGCUAUCUGGACCGGUACUGACGCUGAGGUGCGAAAGCGUGGGGAGCAAA